GACGAACGCUGGCGGCGUGCUUAACACAUGCAAGUCGAGCGGAAAGGCCCUUUCGGGGGUACUCGAGCGGCGAACGGGUGAGUAACACGUGAGUAAUCUGCCCUUCACUUGGGGAUAACUACCGGCAACGGUGGCUAAUACCCGAUAUGACCAAGCACUGCCUGGCGUGGUGGUGGAAAGUUUUUUCGGUGGGGGAUGUGCUCGCGGCCUAUCAGCUUAUUGGUGGGGUAAUGGCCGACCAAGGCUUCGACGGGUAGCCGGCCUGAGAGGGUGACCGGCCACACUGGGACUGAGACACGGCCCAGACUCCUACUGGAGGCAGCAGUGGGGAAUAUUGGACAAUGGGCGAAAGCCUGAUCCAGCAACGCCGCGUGAGGGAUGACGGCCUUCGGGUUGUAAACCUCAUUCAGCGGGGACGAAGCGCCGGUAAUGGUGGUGACGGUACCCGCAGAAGAAGCACCGGCCAACUACGUGCCAGCCGCCGCGGUAA
rnacentral:rRNA from 1 species